UUGCAAAAGAUAAAAUACCUUGCCUUUUCAUUCUUAUAAAAACAAUUUGGAAAUUAGUUUUACAUUGCAAGAAAAUGGAGUCAGUUAUAAAAGAAUUGCUAAUCUGCUGUUUCUUUGGGUGCAUAUGUGAAUCUUUUAUAGCUAUUUAGAAGCUAUUACCCAGUUGUAGAGGUCAAAGAAGGUGCAGGAGUGCUCUGAGUUUAAAAUAUCUAUAUUUUAUUCCUUAGCACCAAUACCAUCAGAAGGCAGGAUGAAUUGGGAAUGCUCAUACUCCAUGACAUAAAUUCUGUCAUAAGUCUGUCAUUUUCCUUGUUUGGACAAUUUAGCCUGAAGCAUUUUUUGCAAAGGAAUAUUGAAAUUGUUUUUGUUCAAACAAGUAUUGCAAGUGAAAUUGAAUAAUCUUAGGAUUUGAAACGGAUCCUGUUGAGUCAUAAUCCGCAUUUAAGAUGAGUAAGUAGCUUCAGGCAAUAAACCUGUGCUGACCUUUCCAUUUUGUGAUUUUUUUUUAAACAAUCACAUUUUCUUUUUUUUAUUUUACUUGAUUUUUUUAAAUUUUUUGUUUGAUCUCUCCCCGCUGUUACGUUGGCAGGUAGGAAGCUAAGCAAAAAAGAUAAAUCUAAUAUUUUAAUGUACAGUUUGAAUACAGGUAAUGAUUUUGGGGCCUUCCGUUGUGUCAGCUUCCCCUGUCAUUUUUGCUGUUUCCCCCCUCAAAAACUGAAGAGUUUAACUAUAGGUUUGCCUGGAGACCUAAUGAAAAUAUACUCUGCACUGAUGCAUGGAAAGGAGUUGGGAAGGUGUGGAGGGCCUUUAAUUGAUUCUUGUUCUUAGUUCCUUUUUCACUGAGCAAGCACAAGCUUGAAGCAGUUUAAAGACAGCAAUUUAAUCUGAAAGGAGGUGGUGAAACCUUGUCCAGCUCUUCAAUUAAGAUAGGAUUAACUAGCUCUGAAGAGAAAUCCAGCCAAAUUUCUGGCCUGAAGACUUUGAAUGUGGUACUUGACUUCAAAGGUAUGAAUUGGGUAGAAACGUGCAGAGCAUGAGAGAGCUGCACACGGAUACAAAUAACUCAGAAGGAACCAAAAACACCUUUUUAUCUUCUAUAUUUCACAUACAGUAUUUCAGGAACUCCCCACCCUCUGAACUGAAUGAACAAUAAUUCCCCCCAAAUCAGAAAGAGGAUGUAAACAAAGAUUUGAUGCUUCUCUCUUAUUAGGUAUAUACUAACGUAACUCCAGGGACUUCAAUAGACUUGCUUCUGAUUAACAACGGUGAAAAUGAGAAGAGAAUUAGGCACCAUAUAUUUAGAGGUGUAUUAUUAGCACCUCCACAAAAUGUUGCGCUUUAAUGCAGGACAUAUAUUAACAAAAGAGAGAAUCUCCAGCAGCAAUGACUGAAGAUGUGUAUUCCAGAAUGAUGUCUGCCUGUUCUGACCUCAGCUUUCAACGUGCUGGAUGGUAUUAUAAAUGGUGUAAAACUUCACGAACAAACCGCUCUGUUGGUAAUGUUGAACCAAAUUAAUGUGUGAAGUUACUGUGUCUUGACAACAGGGCAACUGUCUGCCUGAUUCUAGGUCUUUUCUUGUUCUCACAUUAUACAGGAACAAGUACACCCUGUACAGCAGUUAAACUGUUUUGGAUUUAAAAAGAGGAAGUUUAUAGCAAAAAUAGGAAAUUUGGCACUUCCGUAAAAAACCCUAGCAAUUAUUUUUUAUCCUAAGGAUUAUGUUUCUGAGAAUACCUUUCAAUAGGGGGUGACUAAUAAGAAAUAUAAUUACUUUAAAUGUUGCAGUUAGAAAUUUUGGAAGGUUUAUGAGUUUUCUUCAAAUGAGCAGUACAGAAAUGCUACUCAUCUGACCACUUUCAGGUCAUCCAUUAAAUGUUUUUUUAAAUAGUGUGUUGUGAUGGAUUGGUGUGAUUUUUUUUCUUUGAAACAUAACCUGUAAAUUUUAAGUCUGUCCCAUUCCCCCUCCCCCCCCCACCCCAUUUCUCCUCCUUCCACUCCCCACAGUUUUCCAUAUAGCAGUGAGCACUUUUGGUUUUGAUGCACUUUCAUUUCCUCUGUCUCUUCUCACAAUGUCUGGCUGCAAGGCCCUCCCUAGGGGUGGGCGAGUAGGGCAGCUGCCCCGGGCCCCUCACUUUGGGGGGCCCUGCCACGGCCAUUGUGUGCCACUGGCUCUGCGUUUUAGCCACUUGCCUUCACCCCCUUCGCAGUCCAGCCACUUGUCAUCCCCCACCUCAACUUCCCACAGGCUGAUAUGCCCCGGGCCCCACACACCCCUAGGCUUGGCUUUGUCUGUCUGUCCCAUUCAGCGAAAGAACUGUUACUUCUGCAUUUAUUAGAUCUUCAAAAGAAAAUCCAAAUAAUACCAAUGACUCAGUACAGGACUUAGGAACAAUAUCUGAGAAAUUGUAAUGCUCUUUGUAACAACUAGGAGGUCAAUGAAUGUAGUUGACCUGAGUUUGAGAAGAAAAACACAGAGGGAAAAUGGAAUUAUUUACAUAACUCAGCUGAUCUGAGCGAUUAUGUUGAAUAAUAAUCUGUAUUUUAGGUCUUUUGAAUGUCUGAACUUGCGUUGCUAGGGUAUGAUUCUUCCCUAUUAGGUAAUCUGCAUAACCUAUUUGAGUCCAUGGACUUGAAUUGAAGGUGUUGUCCUACCGUGGCACUGGAAAGGUAAUUUUGUCUUAAUUCAUAAUGAGGUUCAGUAUUAUCUUUGGCCCUGAUAGCUCAGUAAUUGUUUGUUCCCUAAGGAACUGCCUUGUUUCCCAUAGAGUAAGGGAGUGCCACAGUGGGCUCUGUCCUGGGAGAAUAGAGGACUUCAGACCCUAAGGCAACACAUGUUGCAGUUGGAGGUAUGAUAGCAACAAUUAGAGACAGCAUAGCUAGCUAGGUAGCUUCAAACUAGCUAUGGUAUAUAUGUACAUGCUGCAGUCACACAUCUAGUUGCAGUGUAGAUGUAGCCAAGCAGUUGGGCCAUCUGGAUUGUUCCUUAUAGUGAAUCCCUAUGGUGCCUUCCUUUUUUCCCACUAGGAACCCACCCACUUAGAGUCCAUCUUCACCCCUUCUUCCAACUCGGAAGCCACCAAAAUGAAGGUUCCAAAAGCACAAGUGCCACAAAGCUGAAUUCUGUUCAGUGGGACAAUACCAGGAAUAUAACUACAUGUUUCAGGGAUACAAGAACAGGAAGGAAGAAACUUCUUAUCAAGAAGCAAGAAAAAAUCCAACACCCAGCUUGCCAUCAAACAACUUGGAGGUAAACAGACUGCUUGAAAUUUUUUUUUAGCCUAAUUUGCAUAAAAUUAACUUUUCCACCCAGGGGAACCUAUAACAUCUUUUUAUUCUCCUCCUGUGCAAUAUGAAGUUUCAUUUCCACCUGGGAGAAAUGUUACAAUCGGUGCAUUCUCCUUUGCCUGAGGAAGGAUGAGUGAGCCUGAAAGCUUGCCACUAUUUAGUUGAUCUAAUAAAAGGUAUCACCUCUGCCAACCGUUCUGCAUAGGAAUAUAACUGUUGCCUCAGUAAAGCCCCUUAAGGAUUAAAGGCACCGGGCAGACUACCGCUGACUUUAGAGCACUUUGCAUGAGGCCUUUGGGAGCCCAAGAAAUUCCAUGUUAGGCUUUGGCUUCACAAGUAUUGCACAAUUCUUUUCACCAUGCAACUGAACAGGGUUUUUCCCAGUGCAGCUCUGUGCAGCCAUGUGAUAGAGGGAGAGGUCAUAUUACAAGGGUUCUGGGUGUUUUGUUUGCAAGCUUCACUGUCUCAACCAAAAUCAGUUGAAUGGUUUCCAGACCUGCCUCUCUUUGCUCCCCGUCUCCUGCUUACACACAUUUCUGCACUUUCCCAAUUAUUUUAGGUGCUGUCACUUGAAGAUGCGGGAGACCUUGGAACUGUUUUUCUGCCGUACAACACCCUCUGUGUUGUCUUCUCCUUCGUGACACCUUUCAAGCAUCUGUGCACUGCUCUGCUGAUCACAAUAGCUUCUUGCAAAACCACAGAGGUGCAGCUGCAUGCUUUUGGUUUUGGUGUCAAACAAGUGUUGUAUGUGGAACAGAUGAAUGAACUUCGAUAAAAAGCCUGAGUUUUAAAAGGGCUCAUUUGUGACUUCCUUCAUGCUUUGGCAUGGGCAUUUCAGAUUUGACUAGCUGAGUAGCUUACAGGCUCUCCUUUUAUAAUAUUGUCUUCUUUGGCAGCUUCUUAGCAGCACAGAUUGUACUGUUGAGACUUCAUCUUGUUAGCUUUCCUGUGGUGCUGCUCGUGACCUGUGCCACACUCGUUAUUGUGUCCCUGCCUUUAGCCUGGAAACAAAGUAGACACUGGCUGUGCUUCUCAUUGUUUCUCAACUUAUGCAUCCUGCUGGUAGCUAGGAAGAGUCAAUUGCUUUUUAACAUUGCUCCUGCAAUGAUAAAGUUGAACUGGUUUUGUAAUGACAAUGAAUCUCUCAGUUCUGAUUAGUUUCUGUUUAAUUUGUAUAUACUGUUGUUUGCCAUGAAGUUGUAAGUCAUUUGUUGCGGUGUCAGAUCUGUUCCUCACUUAUGUUGUUUCUCACACUAAAUCUUUGUUCAGCCGAGCUAUGAUUUCAGUGACAGGGAAAGGAUCCGGUAACUGUAUCUUACUUCUAGUGAAAACACCUAGGAAAAUACAAUCAACUCAAAGCUGACUAACUGGUAUGAUACUUAACAACAACUAGCACAGGAGCUGGGAAGCAAACAGGACACCCACUGAUAACUCUCCCCAGGCUGUGAAGAUUUCGAGGUAACAAAAUGAAUGAAGCAGAGUUGCAUUCAAAUUGUAAACAAUUAAUGAAGAGAAACUCUCCUCAAACAGGAGGAAAUUAUGACCUUUGUCAUAAUGACCUCUCCUCCCCUUGUCCUUAUCUUAGGCAAAACUGCCUUUUUCUGCCACAUCAGCCCAAUCUGAUUUUGCUUCUUGCAUUAUUAUGACUUGUCACAGUGACUUGAAAAUGAUUAAAUCUAA